AAGUUAAGAAACCUUUUUAUAGGAUAACUAUUUUUUAGUAAAAUUUGUUCGCUAUUUUCAUACUCUAAUUUUGCUUCUCGAUUAAUAAAUCAAUGCAUUGAAACCUAUUCAUUUUCAUUUUCAUUUUCAUUUUGAAACCUAUUCCUCUCUCUCUUCUUCCUUAUUUCCCAAUUGAAAACCUAAAGCAUAGCCCUGAACAAAAGCUCUCACGACCACCGCAGACCCUCUUUACCCAAAUCGAUUCCCCCAUUCUCAAAUCUAUUUGUAUUUUCUCUCAAUCUUUGUUUCGAAAUCAAAACUCAACCCCGAAUCAAUUUUAUUUUCACCUCAGAACCCUAAUCUAAAACUCAAUCCAAAUCAAUAUUGUCACCGGUUGUAUUGCGGCAAGUGUUUCGUCGGUUGUGUUCUUGUGGGUGUCCUGUUGGUCGUCGUGUUGUUGCGAGUGUGUCGGUUGUGUUGCUGCCAUCUUCAUUUCUUCUUUUUUCGUUUUUUCCAGAUCUGAAAAAUUAGGUAGGAUAUUUCGCGGCGCCACUGUCGUGUUGUUCCAGCUGUAGCUGAUUUCUGUCCUAAGAUUGGAUUUAGUGCUCCUCAAGCCCCUGGAAAGAUUUAUGUUCAAAUUUUCAGGAACUCUGCAACAAUAUCGAUAGAUGAUUUCUUUUUUACGGCUGAAGAUUAGAAUAAACUACGAGAAACUAAUCCAGGAAAUGCACUUCUUGAGGAAUUGAGAAGCCAUCAUUUGCCACUGAGUUGAACUUAACCUUAUCUGCUGAUCAUCGCGUCUUUGAUGGCAAAGUUGGAGCAUUUACAUAUCUUUAUACUAGGGGAAUAGCAUCCAAGCAAUUACUUUUCCCAAGAACUCGGAAACUUAUUUGCACAGGGUUGGUCGUUGUUCAGGAAGAUUUGGCCAUCUUGGUUUAGCGGUGAAGUUGAUCACUUAUGAGGACCGCUUUAAUUUCUAUGUAAUGUUGUUGGUGUUGAAUAAGUUUUAUAGAUUCUGGCUGUAGGUUGCUGAUAUGUUUCAUCUUUUGUUUAGAUAUAGGCUGUAGGCUGUAGGUUGCUGAUAUGUUCCAUCUUUUGUUUAUAUAUAUAUCUUAAAGUCUGCUACAUAUAUAAUUUUAGAUAUCCGUAGAAUGGAGAAUAAAUGAACGAUAGUUUGCUGUAGAUAAUAUAUUAUAUGUGAAUCAAACUGAAGAUUGUGAGGUUACAAUAUAUGUAUCAGUUCUCACAA